CUUUGCAGUUCAGCAUUUCAGCAGCUCACUGAUCUUUUCUGAUCUUGAAAACUAAGCAGUUCAGGGUUGCUUAAUACUUGGAUGAGAGAGCAUCUGGGAAUCUCAGGUACUACAGAUU
rnacentral:rRNA from 1 species